rnacentral:rRNA from 1 species
AUUGAACGCUGGCGGCAGGCUUAAUACAUGCAAGUCGAGCGAGCGGCGGACUGGUGAGUAAUGUCUGGGAACCUGCCUGAUGGACGGGGAUAACUACUGGAAACGGUAUCUACUACCGCUUACCAUCGGUUGUGCCCUGAUUGGAGUAGCUAGUCGGUGGGGUAAAGGCUCACCUAGGCGACGAUGCCUAGCUAGUCUGAGAGGGUGACAAGCAACACUGGAACUGAGACACGGUCCAGACUCCUACGGGAGGCAGCAGUAGGGAAUAUUGCACAAUGGGCGCAAGCCUGAUGCAGCAAUGCCGCGUGUAUGAAGAAGGUCUUCGGGUUGUAAAGCACUUUCAGCGAGGAGGCGUUACUCGCAGAGAAAGCACCGGCUAACUCCGUGCCAGCAGCCGCGGUAAUUC